rnacentral:rRNA from 1 species
CCUACGGGUGGCUGCAGUGAGGAAUAUUGGUCAAUGGACGCAAGCCUGAACCAGCCAUGUAGCGUGCAGGAUGACGGCUCUACGAGUUGUAAACUGCUUUUGUACGGGAGUAAAGUGAGAUACGCGUACCUUUUUGUAAGUACCGUAUGAAUAAGGAUCGGCUAACUCCGUGCCAGCAGCCGCGGUAAUACGGAGGAUUCGAGCGUUAUCCGGAUUUAUUGGGUUUAAAGGGAGCGUAGGUGGUCUGUUAAGUUAGUGGUGAAAGCUUGCGGCUCAACCUCAAAAUUGCAUUUGAUACUGGACGGCUAGAGAGUAGUUGCGGUAGGCGGAAUGUGUGGUGUAGCGGUGAAAUGCUUAGAUAUCAUGAAGAACACCGAUUGCGAAGGCAGCUUACCAAGCUGCCUCUGACAUUGAGGCACGAAAGUGUGGGUAUCAAACAGGAUUAGAUACCCGUGUAGUC